UACGUAGGGGGCAAGCGUUGUCCGGAUUCAUUGGGCGUAAAGGGUGCGUAGGUGGCGCCGUAAGUCGGGUGUGAAAUUUCGGGGCUUAACUCCGAAACUGCAUUCGAUACUGCGGUGCUUGAGGACUGGAGAGGAGACUGGAAUUCAUGGUGUAGCAGUGAAAUGCGUAGAGAUCAUGAGGAAGACCAGUGGCGAAGGCGGGUCUCUGGACAGUUCCUGACACUGAGGCACGAAGGCCAGGGGAGCAAACGGG
rnacentral:rRNA from 1 species